AACGAACGCUGGCGGCAUGCCUAACACAUGCAAGUCGAACGAGACCUUCGGGUCUAGUGGCGCACGGGUGCGUAACGCGUGGGAAUCUGCCCUUGGGUUCGGAAUAACAGUUAGAAAUGACUGCUAAUACCGGAUAAUGUCUUCGGACCAAAGAUUUAUCGCCCAGGGAUGAGCCCGCGUAGGAUUAGCUAGUUGGUGAGGUAAAGGCUCACCAAGGCGACGAUCCUUAGCUGGUCUGAGAGGAUGAUCAGCCACACUGGGACUGAGACACGGCCCAGACUCCUACGGAGGCAGCAGUGGGGAAUAUUGGACAAUGGGCGAAAGCCUGAUCCAGCAAUGCCGCGUGAGUGAUGAAGGCCUUAGGGUUGUAAAGCUCUUUUACCCGGGAUGAUAAUGACAGUACCGGGAGAA
rnacentral:rRNA from 1 species